rnacentral:rRNA from 1 species
CACGGUGGCCAUAGCGAAGGGGAAACACCCGUUCCCAUCCCGAAUACGGAAGUUAAGCCCUUCUGCGCCGAUGGUACUGCAUGGGUAACUGUGUGGGAGAGUAGGAUGCUGCCGUGG